AGUCGAACGCGAAAGCUCUUCGGAGUGAGUAGAGUGGGGACGGGUGAUAACGCGUGGUAUUCUGCCCUGUAGUAUACGCCACACGGGGACCCGCGGUGCUAUACCGCAUACGUCCUACGGGAGAAAGGGGGCCUUCGGGCUCUCGCUGCAGGAUGAGCCCGCGUCCGAUUAGCUAGUUGGUAGGGUAAUGGCCUACCAGGGCGACGAUCGGUAGCUGGUCUGAGAGGAUGAUCAGCCACACUGGGACUGAGACACGGCCCAGACUCCUACGGGAGGCAGCAGUGGGGAAUAUUGGACAAUGGGCGCAAGCCUGAUCCAGCAAUGCCGCGUGUGUGAAGAAGGCCUGCGGGUUGUAAAGCACUUUCAGUGGGGAAGACAAGCCUGGGGUUAAUACCCCCAGGGUCUUGACGUUACCCACCAGAAGAAGCACCGGCUAACUCCGUGCCAGCAGCCGCGGUAAUACGGAAGGUGCACGCGUUAAUCGGAAUCACUGGGCGUAA
rnacentral:rRNA from 1 species